CGUUGCACCUCCUCUUCCUCUUCCUCGCCAUCCGACUUCUGUUCCGGGAGUGGGGAGGGGGGGAAAGAGACCCCUCCCAAAUUGCCUGCUUCUCCCGCAAGUGGAGCUUCUGCGCCGGAUUCGGGCUCUGCCCCGCAGCUCUAGGGGCGCGCGCUUUCGGAAAGGGAAGGAGGGGCGGCAGGUAAAUCCCCCCCACCCACGUGGAUGUUGCAGGAAAGGAAAGGAGAAUCGCGAGCGAGGACAAAGAGGAUCAGGAUCCUCAGGAGCGUGUCCUGGCGACCAGAUUAAGGGCCUGCCGUCACCGGCAGCAGAAUUCCCCAACCCACCAAGGAUUUGAGACCCAUCAGAUAUCCUCACCUGGUUUAGCAGGCCGGUUGAAGCCGUUCCUGGGAUUGCGGCCCAUUUUGCAUGCUGACAGCUUCUGGAAGCCACAGGUGAGAGCUGAGUGCAGGGUGGGGACCAAUGGUGGGUGGGGACCAAUGGUGGAUAAAUUACCCCCACCAAAGGUACUACCGCUCCCCUAACACCCCAAGACAUCCUAUAACUAUGAUAUUUAUUUUUAAAAUGAUAUUUAUUAAUAUUUCACAAACAAUAAAAACAAAAUCCAACAUUUAAACG